rnacentral:snRNA from 1 species
AUCUCUUCUCAGCCUUUUGGACAAGAUCAAGUGCAGUAUCUGUUCUUAUCAGUUUAAUAUUUGAUACAUCCUCUAUCUGGUUUAUUGAAUCUUA